AGGCGGACGGGUGAGUAACACGUANGNAACCUGCCCUCAAGUUUGGGACAACUACGUAAAACGGUAGCUAAUACCGAAUAGUUGUUUUCUUCGUAUGAAGGAAACUGGAAAGACGGAGCAAUCUGUCACUUGGGGAUGGGCCUGCGGCGCAUUAGCUAGUUGGUGGGGUAACGGCUCACCAAGGCGACGAUGCGUAGCCGACCUGAGAGGGUGAUCGGCCACACUGGGACUGAGACACGGCCCAGACUCCUACGGGAGGCAGCAGUAGGGAAUCUUCCGCAAUGGGCGAAAGCCUGACGGAGCAAUGCCGCGUGAGUGAUGAAGGUUUUCGGAUCGUAAAGCUCUGUUGCCAGGGAAGAACGCUUGGGAGAGUAACUGCUCUCAAGGUGACGGUACCUGAGAAGAAAGCCCCGGCUAACUACGUGCCAGCAGCCGCGGUAAUACGUAGGGGGCAAGCGUUGUCCGGAAUUAUUGGGCGUAAAGCGCGCGCAGGCGGUCAUUUAAGUCUGGUGUUUAAUCCCGGGGCUCAACCCCGGAUCGCACUGGAAACUGGGUGACUUGAGUGCAGAAGAGGAGAGUGGAAUUCCACGUGUAGCGGUGAAAUGCGUAGAUAUGUGGAGGAACACCAGUGGCGAAGGCGACUCUCUGGGCUGUAACUGACGCUGAGGCGCGAAAGC
rnacentral:rRNA from 1 species